rnacentral:rRNA from 1 species
GACGAACGCUGGCGGCGUGCUUAACACAUGCAAGUCGAGCGGUAAGGCCCUUUCGGGGGUACACGAGCGGCGAACGGGUGAGUAACACGUGGGUGACCUGCCCUCAGCUCUGGGAUAAGCCUGGGAAACCGGGUCUAAUACCGGAUAUGACUCCAUGACGCAUGUUGUGGGGUGGAAAGCCUUGUGCGGCUGAGGAUGGGCCCGCGGCCUAUCAGCUUGUUGGUGGGGUGAUGGCCUACCAAGGCGACGACGGGUAGCCGGCCUGAGAGGGCGACCGGCCACACUGGGACUGAGACACGGCCCAGACUCCUACGGGAGGCAGCAGUGGGGAAUCUUGCGCAAUGGGCGAAAGCCUGACGCAGCGACGCCGCGUGAGAGAUGACGGCCU